rnacentral:rRNA from 1 species
AUGUUUCUGAUUACUUUUUUUAAAUUUGAUGCAAUAUUUGCAUGGAAUUUUGAUGUGCCUGCUGAGGAGACCGUUGGUGCGGCCGAUAUUUUCCCUUCAUCUAGCAUGCCUUAUGCUGAGUGUCUUCAUGUUCGAUCAGUGGUUUCGCGCCCGCGAGUUGUUCCACUCCGAACUGUGGGGUCUCCUUACCGGCCAAUUUCAUUAGUGUUGCCAACGCCGAUUGUUGAAUCUAAAGAUAGCGGUCGUGCUCGAUGUAAGAGAAGGUUGAUACGGUUGUAUAGGCCCAGAAGAAAAGAGAGAGUGCGUGGGGUGGACCUCCCUCUUCGAAGGAUCUUGUUAUUCUACUCACUGUUCAGAGGGGUCGUUCGUACUACGGCGGUCCGGAGCUUACGUGCCAGUGGUGCGGUGCAUUCUAUUGGUUCCGUGAGGGUUCAUUCCACCAUCAGGCGGCUCCGCUUGACUAUCUAUGGUUCAUUCUUCCGAAGGUAG